ACGCGAUGAAGCAGAAGGUGGCAUCCCGCAGUGACUGGUUCACCUUCACUGCCCAGAUCACCAGCACGUUCCCAGACAAUUAAAAGGCUUUGAGGGACCCAACUCAUCAGACCUCAGGCAGCUCAUGUCUUCCAGAUGUGACAAAACUUGUAAACACUCUAAUCUUGAAAGUGAAACACUGCUGAUGCAUUGGAUGGAGGAAGUGCUCAUGUUGAGCUUAAGCCAGACAUGUGGACUAAGUGAUUGACCACUAGAACCUGCUUUCAUUUCUUAUUGCUUCACUACAUUGAGUGCAAAGAAAUCACCAACAGUGAAGAAAUGCUGUGCUGUUUGAUGGACAUAAAGUCACUUUUUAAGAGAAAUUCUCAGAUUUUGCUCUCCAUCACUACCUCUCCUGAUGUCUCUCUGAAGGCUCCAUUUGAAACCUAGAGCACCUCCAAUUCCCUCACUGCCUCCCAUCUGUGGCCUCAGGCUCACCUGGAAAGCAUGUACUCACCUGCAGCACCCUUCUUCACCUGUCAGCCUCAGAGAGGGAGAGGAGGCACCUUCAUUCAGUCCCAAGGCCUAAGAGGCAGUCCAAGAGCCUAGGUAGUCCAAGAGCCAACACUCUUCACACUUCUGACAUUAGUGCUCUGUGCACCCAGUAUGUAGAAGGAAGAAGGUGCACUAGUUGAUCCUUAGACUACAUUACACCUCUGACAUUCUAUGAUUCUGUGAUCUGUUCUCACCCUGCUACAAAGCCCCACAAAUAAUGCUGAUUUGCGUGACAUGUUCUUAUAUCUAGGUCCUAUUGAAAUGUACAUGCCUUCCAGCCAGCUACCUCCCACCUGGUCCUCAUCCAUAAUACCAGAGAACUAGCCUAGGCAAACAAAAUGUGGGGCCUGUUUGGAGAAGCUAGAGGCUCCCACUCUUCCAGAACCUUCUCCUUGAUCCUCUAUACCUAGGCAUGUGAGACUCUGGGAUGGGAAACUUGCUUUGAUGUGAGUCAAGCAAACUAGCAGCCUAGGUCAGCCCCCCUGUGAGGUCAGUAGGCACUGGAAGAUGCUGGGAGUCAGAGGGUUGGGACUGGGUAUGCAGCAGAUGUGGAAGAAUAGAGUCAGGAGCAGAUGAAGGGGAUCUCUGAGCAUUUUGAAAUCCAAGCACCACCAUGCAAAUGAGAUCAGCCCAGCAUGCAAAUAGACAGAAUCAAGUUGAGACAGUCAGGGUGGGGGCACAAACAACCUGGCCCUGGAGCCCCAGCCAGGGAUAAGGGCUUCCUCUGGAUGGAGUAGGACUGCUGGAGGAGGAGGCUACAGUCAGAGCAGGGGGCCCUGAGUGCCCAAGCCAGCAGGGGUGGGGAUUAAGGCCUGACGCCCUGCUGUCAAGUUAGAGCUGAUGGAUCACCACUGGUGGCAGAGCACAAAGGCUGUUCUGUGCUUGGCACCAAUGUGUUCCCAUCCAUCAGAGGGCAGUUUUCAUGGGGUGGAGGAAUAUGCAGGGGGAGCCUCUAGGGGCAGCUUUUCCUCAGCUCAGUUCUAAGAGAGGAGCAAGGAGAAAAGAGGGUCAAUCGCUCCAUUAGUGUUCUGAGUUGAGAGACACCUGGGCCACCAUAUCUUCUCAGUCCUGGAAGGGUCUGUGCCUCACAGCUGGGACUUGACAUAGUCCCCAAGCCACUUACUUAGACAGACAUACACAACACAUCCACAGACAGGGAUUCAUUGAAACCUAGACACACAAGGUCACCCCUAACCUCCCAGUCCUGCCCUCACAUUUGGUCAGAGGCAAACGUCACACAGACCUAAGGCCAAACUCACACCCAAACUGAGGGCAGGGACUGAUCUCAUUUACUGCUCUUGCCUAUGUCCAGUGAUGCCCGGGGAAUAAUAGAGAGUGGGCUCUAAGGAAAUUGAGUUGAGCAGAGAAAGGAGUAAAUGAAUAAAUUCCUUCUCUGGAUUAUAUUAGCAUUUUUUCUAGCCUACUCUAUCAUCACCUACUUUGUAUAAUCAUCUUCCUCAUUCAACUGUGAGCACGCAGAAAGACCACAUCUUAUUCACAUUAGUGACUCUC